rnacentral:rRNA from 1 species
UACGAGUGCCCCAAGCGUUAUCCGGAAUCAUUGGGCGUAAAGGGUGUGUAGGUGGCGAUGUUAGUCUUCUGUUAAAACCCCGGGCUUAACCCGGGAUCUGCAGAGGAAACGGCAUUGCUCGAGGAUGCGAGGGGUGAAUGGAACUCAUGGAGUAGGGGUGAAAUCCGUUGAUAUCAUGGGGAACACCAAAAGCGAAGGCAAUUCACUGGCGCAUUCCUGACACUGAAACACGAAAGCGUAGGUAGCGAACGGG